rnacentral:rRNA from 1 species
GUCCACGCCGUAAACGAUGUCUACUAGCUGUUCGUGUCCUUGUGAUGUGAGUAGCGCAGCUAACGCACUAAGUAGACCGCCUGGGGAGUACGGUCGCAAGAUUAAAACUCAAAUGAAUUGACGGGGGCCCGCACAAGCGGUGGAGCAUGUGGUUUAAUUCGACGCAACGCGAAGAACCUUACCUACUCUUGACAUCUAGCGAAGAUUGUAGAGAUACGAUUGUGCCUUGGGAACGCUAAGACAGGUGCUGCAUGGCUGUCGU